rnacentral:rRNA from 1 species
GGACAAUGUGGCGAAAGCCUGAUCCAGCCAUGCCGCGUGUGUGAAGAAGGUCUUCGGAUUGUAAAGCACUUUAUGUUGGGAGGAAGGGCAGUNAAUUAAUACUUUGCUGUUUUGACGUUACCGACAGAAUAAGCACCGGCUAACUCUGUGCCAGCAGCCGCGGUAAUACANAGGGUGCAAGCGUUAAUCGGAAUUACUGGGCGUAAAGCGCGCGUAGGUGGUUCGUUAAGUNGGAUGUGAAAUCCCCGGGCUCAACCUGGGAACUGCAUUCAAAACUGNCGAGCUAGAGUAUGGUAGAGGGUGGUGGAAUUUCCUGUGUAGCGGUGAAAUGCGUAGAUAUAGGAAGGAACACCAGUGGCGAAGGCGACCACCUGGACUGAUACUGACACU